GAAAGUUGCUUAAUUUGCUCGGUAGUUGCCUGGCAAACCUGUUCAACGGGCCAGAAGGCAUGAAACUGUAAAAAAAUGAUCGUUGGGACUAAGCAUGGAUGAAAAGUCUUGAAUGUGCUGCUUGCAAGGACAGAGGGCAGCCAUUUUUUUGUUCAGAGAUAGCUUCUUCUGUCCCUACAAGAUGUAGAAAUAUCUUUACCAUUGAAGACAGUACAAUUUGGGAUAAGGACCCGGCACAUGCAAGAACUGGCACAUGGAGUAUAAUCGCCAGAGGAACACUGAUAUCAGUGGGACAUCUGACCCCAACUGCUGCACGGAAGAGAGGAAAUCAGGUGCUAUUUUCUGUCUCACUCUGUGUUUUGAAUUGAUUAAAAUUGGAUCUGCGAUUUCUAGAAUGGAAAUCCUGCUACUCUUGGACUGCACUGGACACUUGGCAGAAGCCUAUUUUGCUGCGAGCAAAGGGCAGCGGCAGAACCUUUGUGGACUGCUCGGAGGGAUCCUCAUUUGCCUGCUUUUAACAAAGCUUUUGUGA
rnacentral:lncRNA from 1 species